rnacentral:rRNA from 1 species
AUUCCAGCUCCAAUAGCGUAUAUUAAAGUUGUUGCAGUUAAAAAGCUCGUAGUUGGAUCUCAGGGUGAGCUCAGUUGGUCGGCCUAAUUGGUCAGAACUGGCUGACUCUCCCUUGUUUCUGAAUCCCGGUCGGAGUUUAUUCUUCGUUCGUGGACUUCAGAUCGUUUACCUUGAAAAAAUUAGAGUGUUCAAAGCGGGCGUUUGCUUGAAUACAUUAGCAUGGAAUAAUGGAAUAGGACCCUGGUUCUAUUUUGUUGGUUUUGAGGACCAGAGUAAUGAUUAAUAGGGAUAGUUGGGGGCAUUCAUAUUUAAUUGUCAGAGGUGAAAUUCUUGGAUUUAAGAAAGAUGAACUUCUGCGAAAGCAUUUGCCAAGGAUGUUUUCAUUA